rnacentral:tRNA from 1 species
GGGCUCAUAGAUCAGCCUGGAAGAUCGCCACCUUCGCAAGGUGGAGGCCGCGGGUUCAAAUCCCGCUGAGUCCA